GAAGGAAGGGCGCUCGGGGCGGCGGUAGCGGUGGCGGGGUUCUGGGGAGGCGCUCGGCUCUGCCGCGUUCGCUGCCGCUGCGGCGUUCCGGGCCCGCUUUCGAUUCUCCUGGGUAGCGCAGAGCUCGUCGGUCUGUGGCUGUUGCGGUUGUGUUUCGCGGGGCAGCCUCAGGAUGAAACGGCGGCGGGUGGGCGCGGCUCGGCUCCGUGCUGUCCCUUCUCGGGCGGCGGGCCGUGCUGGGAGAGCGCGGCGGUUUUGUUUUCGGCUUCCACCAAGCCUAAGUUUUACGUGUGUGCUGCCCAACAUCUUCUCGGAAAGCUCUUGGCUUGUGUGUGUGCUUCAGAAGGAUUCAGGUGAUUUUUUUUUUCCCCACUUGUUAGUCUGGGCUGACUUUGAAAAAGCUCCAGCGUGGGUUCUGGUUCUCUGAGCAGUGAGAACUCACGGCUUGAUGCUGCUGAGGCUUUAAAGGCAGCCGAUGCCUCCCUUUUCCUUGGAGCUGUGGUUGUUUGUGCUUGGUGGUCGCUUUGUUGUUGUUGUGUCCGUUUGGUUUUGUUCCCCCGGUGAACUUAAUUCCUGAUAAAUUAACUUCUACCUCGGGUGUUUUGAAUGUGCUGUGAGGUGCCACAGAGUUAUUUCCCGGUGUUCAUUUCUGUUCCUCCCAGACAUCCAAGUCAAAUCAAGGCAAGCUCGGGCCGAGGAAAGCGUCCAGAGCUGAGUUUUGUGUAUAAUGAGGGAAUUUCCCACGUGUGUGGGGAAGAGUUUGUGUGUUGGCAGAGAAAAGAAAUGGAGGCUUUCAAUUCACAAUGCAAUAGAACUUUUUUUUGUUCAGCCUGAACAAAGCAGCGUUGAAGUAACAGUCACUGUGUGAUGCAAACUCCAGAGUCACCAGGAACUGGUUUGGAUGUUCCAGAUGUGGACUGGUCACGACUGGGAUCUAGUCAGACUUGCUGUUUAUUCAAAUAUUGUUUCCAUGUUGUGUCAGUCUGUCUAAAUUUGGUUUAGUUUUAAUUAACUGACAAUGUACACUGGGCAUGUGGCUUAUUUCUGAUCUUAUUCAUUUCCAUCUUCACCUUCUUAAACUGGCUCUAGUUAACAUAGGAAGAGUAGAAGUUUCAAAUACAGUUUAGAGUGCUGCUUAGGGUCUGAUAUGCGUUGCGACUUCAAAAGAGUGAAUGGAAUAAUUAUCUGGAAAUUAACUCUGAACUUUGGGGAAAUAAUGCUCUGUGUGUAUAGAUAGCAGACUGUAUGCAGGCUGAGAACAUGUGCUCUUCAUGUGUGUCUUCUAAAAAUAUUUUCACAUGCAAAUCACAUAUCCGUUGGCUGCGUGCUUCUAACCAGAUUGUCACUGCAAGGCCGAUGGUUCCUGACAAACUGAAUGCAGAGUGGGAGAUACCAACUGGAAACUUCUGCUUGAAAGCUUUAGCUUGCUUGAUGCCUAUCUCUUGCUGAUAAGUGACUGGGGCCCCUCGUGUGUGCAGUCAGUGCUGGAGCUUCUUUCCUGCAUCAGAACUCCCAGGCCAGGUCAGUGCUCAAGUAAACUAGGUUUUCUGGAGUGUCUUCUACUUUAAGAAUUAGUAGAUCAAGUCAUAUGGUUGCAACAUUACGUGCAGCAGUGGUUAUGUUAUUAACAGCUGAUUUGGGAAGGCAUAUGAGUAAUGCCUUGACAAGUUUAAGUUCCAUUUUAGAGCAAUUUAAAAGAUCUUCAGUGUAUUUCUUAAAACACUCAAAAAUGCCUUUCAAUUAGGCAUGUGAAUAAGGUUAUCAAAGCUGCUACAGUCUGCAGCCAGUCUUUCUCUUUUGUGCAUCCCACUGCUCUUUUUCUUGUGGUUGUUAACAUUUAAAGAGCGUGUUUAUGGCUUUCAGUAGCCUCUGCAAUCAACAGAAAUUAGUCUGAAAUCCUAAUAAAUGAACCAAAGAAAGAUCUUCAGUUGUCUUUCCAUUAUUUAAACUUAAUUUUAAUUAUGCUGUAUUAAUAUCUGAAGUUAUUUACUACCUGCUAAUAUAAAUACUGAAAAUCUUAAAAUAUGAGGGUUUUUUUUUUUCCUGUUUAAUUAGCUUGGCAGAGUUUGUGCAUAACUGUGCAGUUAAAUAAACUAUUACUGUAUUUCAUGUUUCAGAACAGAGGGGCUAUAUUAAUUAAUUAAUAUACAUUUCUUUUGUAACUGUGUUGUUGGGUAAUUGUGUUUUAUAACAUAUUUCAAAUUUUACAUUUAAAUUGUCUCUAUGUUGUUUGUUUUGUUGCUGUUCUUGGUUUGUUUGUUUGGUUUUUUUUACUAGCACUGUUAUGCCAUAUUAAAUUGCACCUUCUUGCAUGAAAAAAGGUGUAAAAUGGAAUACAAAUCCAAAAUGGAGAUCCUUGUCAGAGUACAAAUAGAGGAAUGAAACAAAACCAUGGUACUAAAGCAGAGGUUCCCAACCUUAUUGUACUGGAGUUUGGCCGUGGGUAUGGAUGGGAGGGGGAUUGUUGAUGCCAGUGGAGGCAAUUUUUCUGUCCUAUGUUCCUCCAUCUGUGACACGUUCCUGAAGGCAGAACUCAGCUCUGUGCUUCCUGCCUCACUUACUAGUUUAUCACCCCUGCUUCACUCCAUCCUGUUCUUGUAGACCACUAGCUACUUGUGUAUGGCAAGCCCAGUUCCACAAUUGCUCUCAAAGCACUAUCUGCUUACAAAAUGUUGACUGUUGAAGUGUGAUGAUGUUCACAGGCCUAGCUGGGAAGUAUUGUGAUACACCAUAGCUAGAAACAAAGUGUGGCAAAUAGCUGGUCUUACAAAUCCUCCUUCAGAUAAGUAAUGCCCUCAAAGGCCAUUGAAUGCAUUUCAUUAAGGAUUACAUGUGAUUAGUGGUCUGUAAGGUCAAGAGUACAACCUGUCAUUAAUGAGUAUUCAUAUAUUAAUGCUGCUUUGGUCAGGAAGUUCAACUAGAUUGCUUCUGAGGUCAGUUGCAAUGAGAAUGUUAUGAUUAUCACACUUGUAUUGUGCAAAUAGAUAUUUAAUUUAUAAAACGACAAUUAAACAAGCUAAGCCCUAUCCAGAUGUUGCAAUUAGUUUUACUUAUUCUGUCAUAUUGUAGUAUGGAGAUAAAACUUGGGUCAAAUUUGUAAGAUUUAAAGCAGUUUAAAAAAAAAAAAAAAAAGCCUUUUUGUGUAUUUCAUUGAAUUCCUUGUAUAUAGUUCUAUAUUCUUAGCAUACAGUUGUUUUGGUUGUGGUUCUGGAACUAGUCAAAGUACAGUGCCAGCAAAUGCAGUGCUUUUAUUUGCAGCUGAACUGUGUCAAUGGGCUCAAGUUGACUCUGGCUAUUUCAGGUACUUUUGGCACUGAGGCUGUCAUACAUAGCCAUCAGUGCAGGUCAGCAGUCUGAGAAAGAAAGGUUUGAGGUCCCAAAAACUUCCAAAGCAAGGACUCUGCGUGUGAGAAGGAAUUCCUGUAUUCAAAAACGUGUGUACAUUCUGAGUAUACAUAGAUGUUGCCACAGGUGGUUGAGUUGAAUAAACAGUAUGUGCUGAAUGAGUUUCAAGAUGGAUGCUUUUUCAUUAUUUAAGAAAUUGUGUUUUGACUGACAGUAGUGUGAUCCUCCCCAUUAAGAUGUAUGGGGAACUCAUACAGAUUUCCUUGCUGUGUUUGGGAGGAACGUGUAUACCUAUGAUACUUCUUUCACUGUUACCAUGUAGUAUUGUAAAUGAAUUAUUUUAAUCAUGGAAUCGAGGUUGGAAAAGAUGACUAAGAUCAUCCAAUCCAGCUGUUGACCCAUCACUGUUGACCAUCCCCACCAAACCUUGUCCCUCAGUGCCACAUCUACCCUUUAUCUGAAAAGUUGGUGAUAAGUGAGGAAGUCUCAAAAUGACUCACUGCAAAAAGCCAAGUCACUUUCUCAUUCAUGGGACUGGAAAUAUUUUUGUACAAUAUUUGGCCCUUCCAAAUAUAUUAAAUAUCGACACAUGAUUGUUAUCCUGUCUUACUGCAGUGUAUUUCAGGGAAGUACUUGGUUGCUUUUAUGUUUUUAUUUAGAAAGGGUCUAAGAUGUAAGUGGUGUAGUAAGGACUAGAUAGAUCUCCUGGUCUUUAGGAACUAUAGAAAGCAAUUAAAAGAAAUAAAAAGUGCUAUGAAGGAGCUGAGUGAAUUCUUUACGUUACUCUUUGCCACAGAGAAUGUUGUGAACAUUCUGUUCUUUUCAGACAAUGCGGAUGGGACAUUAUCUGAUUAUUGAAUUAGAGAAUCAAAAAAUUGAAUGCUCAAAUUCUCAAGACCCCUCAGUCACAAGGACUACAUGCAGUUCCUCCUGUGGUUCUAGAGAAUGAAGAGGCUGAGCUGCUGAGAAUGCCUCUGCUUAGGAGGUGAUGCUGUGCCAGAAGACUGAGAGCUGUCAGUUGGUGUAUGUGCUGCACUUCUAAACUGAACUUAUCUGGAAUUUGCAGACCAAGGAUUCUUAUUUUAAUGCCAGGCUAACUGAUGUAAAUACUUGAAUACAGUCAAGCAGUUCUGUGAGCACACAGAUCUAAUAGAGCCUAGUUUCCUACACAGCUAUAUGCCUUAGAGGUACCAGCUGGUGCUGGGAUGUUUAUAAGCUGUUUCUAUUAUGUCUGUAUUGAUGUUUUAAUAAUGUGGGUACGUGCUGCAGCCUCUAGUCAGUUUGUGCAGUUUGUGGCUCUAUCUUUUCUAUUCACCUGUCCAGUGCUUGGAAUUCUGACAUCUCUGAACACAUACAAAACUGGAAAUGCUUUUUGCUUGCACUUCCACAAAACUAAAAUUGGGUAGUGGAUUUAAAAGUUAUGAAGAGUCACACAGAACCUAGGUAGGCACAUUAAACAACAUUCAUCUCAUCUAUCUUUACCUGUCUGAACAGAUAAGCAGCAGGAAGGUCAUUUGUUCGGCACUUCUAACAAAAAUAGGGGUUUGUCAAGUUGUGCCUCAAGAGCCUAUAGUAGAAGUGUUUCCUUUUGUCUUUAAAUAAGCAUCCAAAGUAAAAUUCUAUAUACGUUUGGUAAAAUUGGAGAAAGUUGUGAGGAACUGGAGGACAGUCUUCUAAAGACUGGUAGAUGUCAUUCAGUAUUUGCAGUUACAAAAAAAACUCUUAGCGGAAGGAAUAACCAAACUACUUAAAGAGAUUUCUAAAUUACAAGUAAAUGUUGCAAAAAUACAUUUAAGCUCCCAGAUGAAAAUAUCCUUAAGAAGUGUCCACUGUGAAAGAAGCAGCUUAAAAACUUAUUUUAGUGAUGCUCCUUAAUAGCUUUUAAUGAAAGUUCCUUACUUAGUCAUCUCUGCUGAAAUGAACUGCCCAUCUGGUUUCAUUGCGGAAGCCGUUGAUGCUUACUUUACUGAUCAGUGUGUUUCGUAUCCUCUGGGUGUUUUUAAAUGCUGUUUAUAAAUAACAAGUUCUUGACAGAUAAAGUCUUUGCAGCUUACAUAAUGAAAAUAAUAAUACUUUAUUUCUCGCUUUUGGUUUUAUUUUCUUCGGGUUAUCUCUAAAUGCUCAAUAAUGGCAAUACAUUCAUUCUGCCAUUUGGAGGAGCCUGCGCCACAGAAUAAUGAUCUGAAGAGAGCUAAUGUAUUUGCAAGGAAGAGUCCUCAUUUGUGCAAUAGUGUUGAUGCAGCUAAGAGGUGCCUUGCCAAGUUCAGCACAGCCUGCCAUGCUUGGACGGAGCCGUUUUUUCUUCAAAGAAUAAACAGAAUGCUGCAUCUAAAGAGUAAGAAGAAGGAUGCUUUUAAAGAUAAGGAUUUUGAAAUGAAGAACGAAAAAGGAGAAUGUUUUUAUGAAAAAGUUCAUAACGGACCAAAUAAACGUGUAUGUUAUCUUUUAAAAAUAUUUAACUCAAGUGAAGCUCCUGUAUGGCAAGCCUCAAGACCAAGAAGUCUACUGGAAAUUUUUACCCAUAGUUUAAAGAAAUGUUCAGAUGUCCAAAUGCAAGUGAUUUAGAAGUAGUAACUAUUACACUCUUCAAGAUGCUUUGUGUAAUUCUAGUCUUUUAACUCAGUCAGCUGGGAGAUCCAAUCCUUAGAGACCUGAAGGUAACCUGCAUGUAAAACUAGUAAAAACCAUCUUGAUAGGCUUAGGUUGCUUGUGUGAAAUCUGUUCUGAAGCUUCAGUGCAAAGCAAACACAGCACUAAUGAUGGAUGUGAAUGGACAUCUUAAGGAUAACUGGAUAUGGCAUCUUCAGAAACAGUGGCAUUUUGAAAUCAGUGGCAAACAGCACAAUCAGUGCAUGCUGCCUGAUGCCAGCUGUGGGAUGCAGAAGCUGUGUGGGGAGAGACAGUGCUGGAGAUCAGACUGAAGACCAUUACACCUUCUGGAGCUGACAGGCACAUACAGGAAGGUCCCAGGCCCUAAUUCUGCAUCUGGUCAAAUGGACCUCGAGAGCCCUGGGGCCUGCUUGAGUUAAUGCAACAUGAGUGCCUGGAAGUUUCUACUCUGAAGAACUGACUUUAGGCAAAUUUGUAUUUUGUUUCCAUGUCUACUUGCUUCUAAUUCAUGAUAGUUGUCCUUUAAGGUGGUAUUGUUUUUGAGACUUGGCACAUCUACUUUCGUACCAUUUGUAUGCAGUGUUCCCUGAAUAUUGUCAGACAGUUAAAACAUUUCUGUUGUGUCAUGUACCAAAAACUCUGGAUUGAUGUGAUUAGUGUUGCAUUUUUACAUGUCAUGUCUUCCUACUUAAAAUGGAGGAGGCAAUCACCUGUGUUUUCAGUAGUUGUGGUGUUUCUUUUACCUUAGCUUCUGGAGUUAACUACUGGGACUCUAUUCAGGGCAAUUUAAAGAUGUUGGUAGAUUUGUUUUUUGUUCUUCAGACACAAAAUACAUUUGUUAUUUUGCAGUGUGCUAUUUUCUUAGUAGCCUACUAUAACUACGGGCUUUCAAAAUGAUGAUAAUUCUGUGAUGCAGACCAGUAAAAUAAGCGGGAAAAACAGUAACUUUUACUAGCUCUUCUAUUGCUUUUCUAUUUUUGUGGAUGCAGUUACAUGUCAUACUCUACAGCCGAGAGUGAAGACUUGCUUAUUUUUGUGAACUGGAUAACGUCUUUUAACUACGUGGGUUGCUGUUCCUGUCCUAUUCCAUAGGAAUCUUACAGUUUCAUUGUGUACUAAGGUUAGAUAGCCCCAGUAUGGACUGGGAAGGACUUUGCAAAUAGAGUUCGAGGGGAAAAAUGGAUAUGCUCUGUCUCUACCUGUGUUAGUAUUUAUAUCAUAUAGACUUUUUAAUGCAAACAUAUAUCAAGGUAGGAAAAUUAGUGGAUGAAAAUAUCCAACACUUUCUCUGUAUAUAGAAAAUCAGGAAUACCUCUUUUUUUUUUUUUUUGUAGGCGUAUUAAAAUUGUUUCUAAGAACUCUGAAGUAUUUAACAACAUUUUGCAUAUUCCCAGAACAAUAGAGAAGCACUGCUGUUUUGCUUUAUAAAGGAGAAAACAACUGUUCAAUCAGCAGUGAAGUCAGGGUUAUCAGUUGAGUCCUGCUGCCCUUUAACCUCAUGCCUCCAGCUCCAUUUCUUUCACAAAAGCCAAAGUUGCCAUUCUAACCAAUUUCUUUCUAUUUCUGCAUACAAGGCCUAAGGUGUUUCAGUUCGGACUCCCAGAAAAUGAGGAACACGGUGUUGGUGGCCGUCUGCCAAGGUUUUUGGUCUGACUUGCUCCUUCUUUGCAGAAGCCUAUGGCAGAGAGAACUGAAUGUUCCUGUGUGGCAUUCAACUGCCUUAACCACACGCCCGCUGCUCUCUUCCUGCAGUUGUCCGUCUUCUUCUCUGCACAACUUGUAGAGCAAACACAUAUAGGAACCUAUAAAUAAUCUAAUUUGAUGCACAACCCUGAUUCAUUUCCUGAGCAGCGUGUGUCCUGCACACACAGGGCAGCCGCGGUCCUGUGGAAAACUUGAACAGAACGGAUGAGGCCAAAUAUUAAAGCUGUUAAGUAUUUAAACUUUGCGAUGAAAUGCUAUUUCAAAUUACAGCUAUAAUGAACCAUGUUAGAAUAUUUUUAAAAAGGAAGGAGAAAAGAAAAAAAAGAAUGCUUUUAUUUAUAGUUGUAACUGUUUCCCUGUCUAGCAUUUGAACAUGAAUAUUCAGCUCGGUGAAAUACAGAGCAUCAACCAAGAGGAGCAGGCUGGUCUGCUGGGGAGGAAGGGAAGUAAGCUGCAGGUUGUAAACUUGUUUGCCCUUGAGUCUUAGGGACUGUCUGUGGAGAGUUUACUUUUGCUUUUGUUUGCUCUUGAGCAUUCCCAGCCCUAGAAAUGAGCUCUUUAGGGGCUUUGUGGUGUGAGAUACAUUGGGGGUAUUUGGUGUGUUGCUGUCAUCUGCUAAUAGCAUCAAUUAAAAAAAAAAAAAAAAAAAAAAAAAAUGGAAAUCAAAGGUGCUUUCUGCUAUCCGUGCUUUUUGACAGAAAAUAAGAGAAGCCACUGCUCAGGUGUCUCAGCUUUCUCCCUGAGUUUCGGGGUAAUCCGUGUGAUUCUUGAUCUCAAAAAUACAUGGAAAAUAACGUUAGAAAAAGUAUCUCUCUCAGGUUUCCCCUUUCUUCCCAAUCCAACAGCAGUGGCCUCCUGUGUUCGUGAACUACCGCAGGUGGCGUGUAGGCCCUACUGGCAGAGCAGUGGUAUCAGGAAACACAAGUUGAUCUCUUUAUCUUUUAGGCUGCAAUUGAUAAGGAUAAUAAGGCUGAUUUUGUGUGUUUUUUUUUUUUUCUUGGAGGGUAGGAGGAGGGUUGUCAGUAUGUUUAUUUGGGUUGGUUGGUUUGUUUACUUUGCCCCAGAGAAGUUUUCUGGGCCAUGAGCUAGGUUUUAAUUUCAGUUGAUAUUCUGUCUUAUCCUUACAGAUUUGAUGACUGGGCUGGCAAUUUUCUGUGAGGAAAAUGAAACAGCCUCAUGCUUUGCUUUUGGAUAUUUUUCUCUGGGCUAUGCGGAUUUUGCCCACAAGCAAAGCAGCAAAUUCAAAUGUCCUUAAACAGCACUGGAGUUGAUAGUGAGAUACACAGGUAGGAAAAUUUUGGCCAAGGCAUUCAUUGAAAUUCAUUAAAAUCAGAACACUUGCAAAAUUACCUCAGUUGCGCUGGCAUUUUGUUGUAAAGAAAAAAUGGAACCCUUGCUUUUAACACCUCUUUUUAAUGAAUCAAUUUUUCUCUUUGUUGUAAAGAAGUUGUGGGGACCAUCAGUUGGCAAGGCAGAACGCCUUAAGCUGGAAUCUCAGCCCAGUGCUUUGUACCUUGAAACCAUGCCCUGAAAAUGUUGCCUGUCCUUUGCGUGAUAUUGUGAUUGAUUUUAUUAUGAUAGUUCAUCUCAUGCACUGAUUGUAAUCUUUUGGCAGGGGUUGUUUUCCUUUUCUAGAUUUCAUUUUUCUUCUUUCUUUCUUUUCUCUUUUUUUUUUUAAGCACCCAGUGUGAGGGAGCCCUGAUCCAUGACUUGGCUACCAGGUACUGGGACAAUACAAGUGGUAAUCAUUCCUGCUGCUAAACAUUUUCUACCUUAUUUCCAUUUGCAUUUGUUUGCCUUCAGCUUCCAGUCAUUGAUUCUUGUUAUGCCUUUCUCUGAUAGAUUAAAGAGCUCUUUAGUACUCACUGUUUUCUCUCCAGGAAGGUGCUUUUACACUGUAAUCAGAUUACUUCUCAAACUAUUUUUUUUUCUUAAAGCUAAAGAUUUAUAUGGUGUUCAUUAUAUUUUUUUCCACGUCCCUGGAUUAUUUUUUGUGUCUCUUUUCUACUCAUUCUCUAAUUUUUCUAUUAAAAAAGAAAAAAGAGACAUAGAAUUGUAUUUUACUAGUCACAUACACAGAAGUAGUUACUUCACUAAUUACUCCUGUCUUGGUAUGGUGAGGAAUCUAUGUUUUUUCAAAGUCAAGUAAAAUAAACAUCUAUUUAAUGACUUCAGUACAUUUGGGUGUAUAAUUAUUGAACAGAAGAAGGUGGAUUGUUUUAUUAAAAAUGGAAAUGCUUCAGAAGGUCUGCUGAUGCAGAAGAAGAGUGUGCAAGAGAGGCUUCAAAGAAGUAUUUGUGCUGAGGAUUUUAAGGAGAUGGAGAGAAGUAAUAACAUCUUGAAAAAGGAUACUGCUCAAAACCUUAAGUACUAUGGAUAACAUGAUAUGUAUUUUUUCUUGUGAAAAUUUUGUAGGAUCGAAUGCAAACCUUUCGUGAGUAACAGACUGUCUGGGCUACUGGAAAUAAAUGAGUGGAUGUGAGUAUAUGCAUCCCUUGCACCCAUUUAGUUCUGUGAAGUUGCUUAUAUUCGGAAACUCUAGAACAGUUACAUGAUCUAAAUGUUGUGCUGUAAUAGAAGAAAUAAGAUAGCAUCAAGGAUUUUGUUAUAACAGCAAUCACCAUUAUGCCACAGAAGACUUCAAACAAUUAAAAUCCUCAGCUUCAAGAAGUUCUUGAAAGUUCUACUGCUGCUCUUCAUUUUGAUUUUUAUUCAUGCUUCAGUAAAAUGAUGAGGUAAAUUUGUCUUAAAGGAGUUCUAAUUUCAUACCUGUGUGGUGGAAGCAUCUUGACCUACCUGAUGACUGUUAGUAUAUCAGCAUCUGGGAGAAUCCACACUCCCAGAUCCACCUUAUCCCUCGUGGAAACCACCAGGUUUGAACCAGAGACCGUUUAAAUGGUGCCAUAGAUCAGUUUAAUGCAAGUUUGUCCAACAGUAUUUAAACUUUGCAAUGAAAUGCUAUUUCAAAUUACAGCUAUAAUAAGCUGAGUUAGAAUAUUUUUAAAAUUUGUGUCUGGCACAAAUUUGAGGUCACCAUGUUGACUUUUUCUUGGAACUGUCUUGCUUUUUGACUUCUAGAAGAGUGUGCCUUUUGUUUUUGGCAGCAUUCCUUCAGUGAAAUUUGAGGCAUAUUUAAUAAAGAGUUUAAUUUGUCUCAAGAAAACUAAAAUUCACGGAAGCAUAAAUAAUGAAAAUAAUAAUAAUAAUAAUGUAAAAGACUUAAAAGCCUCUGAAACUCCUGAAGAAGGAGUAAAGAUGACUAGGAGUAGAAAGAUAAAUGGUCUCAGAAAGUAGUGAUCUAAAUAGAUGCUACAGUUUCAUGUUCACCAAAAGGUCAAUGCUAAGGUUUUGGUAGCACAAGACAAUUUGGGGUAGAUUGGUGUCCCCUGCUGAGCUCUGAUGCUGCAUGGAGCUUGGAGAAGUCUUUGGGCUGCAUGCAGCACAGUCUCUGCAAUGCAUAUUGCAGCCCAGGUUGGUGGAUAGUCAUAUCUCCUUAAAGACUUUGUUCCAAAAAACCUAUCAUCUGAGCAGGCAAGUCUGUGUGGUAUUGUUUCCAUUCUGUACAUUUUAUCACAUUUAAAUACCCCUUUCUAUAUCAAGACAGUUGCAACUUCAGAAAAGUUGGGGGACAAAAAAGGGUUUAGGAAGUGUUAUUCCCAAAGUGGAGCCUACAGUUAGCUCUUCUGAUAGUCGUUCUAGUAGUUGAAUCCAGAAAGAGGUGCUACUCAGUGAGUGUUUGUACAGUAAAGACUUCAGUAAUCUGUGACUGCUUGCUUAUAUUCACUCAGUGAAUGCUAAAAUGAGUAGUGCUGCAGAGCUGUAAUGCAGCAUAUAAUAGAGCGUGCCAUAGGUGUUUGAUCACUGUGAACCCUAGACUGCCAGUAAAACAGUAACCAAACACCACUCUGUAAGGACUGCUUUUGAUAGUUUGUAGUACUUGGAGUCUCACUUGAGCACCAUGCCUCCUCAGGAAGGUAGCAAGUUGCUGAAGAUGUGGAAAGUUCUCUGUACAAAUGAGAAACAGUUCAUUUUCUAGCACUGUGUUGUCGAGGAAGAGAUGGACACUUCUCGGUGACAGUCAUACAUAUUUGGCUGUAUUCAGCCAAAGGGCAAGACUGUCCUUCUGUCAAACCAUGCAGGUUCCUAUUUUCAAAGCUGUAAGCUCAUAUUUGUUUCUCCUAGCAAUUCCUGUAACCGCUUGUAUGCAGUGUGUUUCUAUGCAUUGCUGUGGAUCCUGUAUGUACUGCCUCUCCUAUUUCUCUGGAUAUCAGCAUCCUAUAAAUUCACAUCAUUUUCCUGUCUUGUGCAGAUAAUACUGCUAGGAUUUCUGAUACCAGGGACUGUACUGGCGUUAAAGUGCCUGCGACGUGUUCAGAAAUAGAUGGUUUAGCCCGUGUUGUAGAUAAUGGAUUGAAUCCUGUGUAAAGGACGAGAGAACAGGUCAGAGUUACACUUGCUUGUUGUGCAUUUUCAGAAAACAUACACAAGAGAUAAUAGCACCUCUGUCCCAGUCCUGUACCUGGCUCAAGGAAUCUCUCCAAUUUAACAUGUAGUAUUGAGGGCAUCUAAAGGAUCCCCAGAUGCAACGGAAUAUAUCUUUGAGUGUUUUGGACUGGAUGAUACAGGAAGGAAAGUGAUUUCCACUAUUUUUCAUCACCUUAGGCCUAGUUGAAUUCUGCUUUUUUCUGGUGUAGAAGCGUAGUGGCAGUGGCAGCAUCAGAGGCUUCUGUGCCUCUUGACUGAGGAUGACCUAGUACUAAUAGCUUUACAGGAGACUGUCUGUAAUGGUGGACAGCAACAUCUUAGGAUCAACAGAAGCAAACAUUGCAGCUGAUAACUUUUACCUUGUCUGCAGACUUGAGUGUGCAGUCACAUAAAUGGCCUGGAGAUUUUGGAAGGACUCGGAUGUUCAAUAUACUGGUUCCAGAAAGUGGAAGAGAGAAGUGGAUGUUGCAUUGCAUGUUGUGCGCUCAGAAAAGCAAACAUCUUAGCAGGUCAGCGAUUUCAGAAAUUGUGCAGUCCUGGAAGAACAUUUAUUUAACUCUUUUGCUGCAGGAGGUGAACGCAGUUCCCCACCUAUCUGAAACUGCAUUGCAAGCUUCAUAGAAGCACUUAAAGAAGUUGCAUGCUUAUACGUAAGGAAUAAGAUGCUAAAGGACUCACAUAAUUUCCGUUACUGUCACUGUGAAAUGAUUGCUUUAUAAACGUGUAUAUGUACAAUUUUCACUGUGGCAUAUUGAUCAUCAGGAGAAAAGUCUAUAACUAAUGCAUCUUCAUCUGUUUUGCCCUCUGUGAGCUGAACAGUGUGAGCAUAAACCUAUGCUAUGACAUAUAUUUUCUUGAAUACUUCGUACCUAUUAAUUCUUCAAAAAGCUUACAAAGCUUAAAUGUUAUCCAUUCUAUGGAUGAGAACACUGUGUAAGUACUGAUCCCGAUUUAAGAUCGGCUAUAGAAAUGAUGGCAUUGUCUGCAGGGCUCACAUGUCAACAAAAAUCAGCUGUUUCACAAAUGAAGCCUGCUAAGGAAAUCGCUGCAGCAGUAAGAGUCCCAUCCCUGCUCCCUGGCUGCUUCUCCCAGACCAUUUUCCUUUAGUCUUCCGAGGUUACCUUGUUUGGCUGCUACUUCUCUCAGUUACCGUUUACUGACGCAUCUGGAAUAGCCAACUACUCAUCUGUGUAGAAAGGACACAUGGCCUUCUGAAACCCUGUUCUCUAGAUAAUGCUCACUAAUAAAAUAGAGCUGGCAACGUAUGCAGAUUACUUUGUGCAAUCGGAACAAAUCCAGCCAGAAAGGUAAAGCAAAGCACAUUCCGUGCAUUACUGCUCCUUACAGUCGUGCUGUGUCUCAUCUCUUUGAAUGGAAAUCUCUUCCAGAAGUAAUGCUAAGGGAACGGAGGAAAAAAAAAUGCUGGUUAUAAGUCUGCGUUUAAUAGACAAGAGAGAAUUAUGUUUGUAUGGGCUGUGUAGGAGCUGGCACUGCAGCCUCAGGAAGAGGUAAAUACGGGUAGUACUUAUUUCUGAGCAUAUUGUGAACAACCUACUCUCCUGUAUGACUGGAAGUGCUUUAAAAGGACUGUCUAUCCCCAGCAGCUCUAUCAUAAGUGCAUGUGGCCGAGUGCCCUGCCUUUGCAAAGUCUUUGCUCUCAUUUUGAGCUGAUAAUGUAGUGUUUUUGUCAAGAAAGGCUUUCAGAUCUCAUUAAAAAUAGCCUAGUUGUGGCUUUGGGUUUGACUAACAUGUUAGUUGUUGUCAUGCCAUUGUAAAAGUAAUAUACUCUUAAUUUUGACCUGAGGAAGCUAAGAUCUCUUUGCUCAGUAGGAAGGACAGAGGCGAAAUUUGGAGUUCCAUUGAUGUCACCGAAUCUCUGUAUUGUCAAAGCAAGCUAUGAAACCAUCUGCCUUCCAGCCAAAACCACUGUAGGUGGGCAGUGUUCCUCACAGAAUGCAAAAGCUAUCAAAGAAGCUGGUGACAUAGCAUGCUUCUCGUGAAGUGCUGCCCCAUCCUGCAGUGUUCCUUUGGCUCAUGGAGUUGAUGCAAGUUCCUUUUCUCACCUCUGUCAGCAACCACAGAGUGCAAAUGGGCCGAGUCUUUCUCAGGCCUGGCCUGUUACAUAGCUUGACUUCCUUGAAAAUUCUGUUAGGAAGAGUCUCAUCAGUGUGCUUCACAAAGUCACUGGGGAGCUGGGAAGGAAGCAGAUACCAACUCUGCACCUGUCUCUUGAUUACUGUCGACCAGAUGUCUCUGUGGUCUCUGUUCCCUUCCUUGGGAUUCUCUAUUGUUGCUUGGCUUUGCUAGAAAUCUUAAGUUAUGAUCUGCAUGGAUGUUUUGAAGUGGGAGUGUAUGUUUAAGUAAAUAAAAGAUUGUUUUCAUUUUCA